rnacentral:tRNA from 1 species
GGGGGUAUAGCUCCAUGGUAGAGCACAUGCUUAGCACGCACACCGUUCUGGAUUCAAUCCCCAGUAUCUCCA